CUUGAAGGAGAAGACGGAGGCUGAGUUGUGGUUUAGACUAGAACAGUUAUGUAUGACUAAGAGUCUUACAAGUAAACUGGCUUUUAAGUAGAAGCUGUCUUAAGUACAAGUAAACUGGCUCUUAAGUAGAAGACGACGGCUGCGUUGUGGUUUCCCAUCGCAUCGCGGAAGAAGAAUCGUUGGAAGACCAUGUUGCCGUAUUUAAGGAAAUACUUGCAGAUCUGGAGACGUUGGAGGUUAAGUACGAUGAAAAGGAUCUUGCCUUAAUCUUGUUGUGUUCGCUACCUGGGUCUUAUGUGUCGUUUCGGGAUAUUAUCUUGUAUAGUUGAGAUACUUUGACUAUAGAAGAUGUCUACGAUGCUUUGCACUCAAAGGAGAAGAUGAAACAUUUGGUUGGAGCUACAUCAAGAGAUGGGAAAGUUCUUGUAUCUCAAGGUGGUCGACGAAGAGGCAAAUCGAGAGUUAAAUUUAGCAAUGUGACCUGUUACUACUGCAAAAGGAAAUGACAUAUUCGGAAGGAUUGCGAUAUAUUGCAGGCUAAAGGUGAUUUAGCUACAAAUCGUGGAACACAACCCUGAAUUCAUAAGAAACCAAAGUAGUUGAGUAUUAUUCAGAUAGCGAAAUGUGAUGUUGACCGUGAUAUCUGAUGUGAAAUCUAAGUCUGACGAGGAGUGGAUUCUUGAUUCAGCAUGUUCGCAACAUAUUUUUCCGAUGAAAAUUUAUUUUAGACAUAUGAGGCUGUUCAGCAAGGUGGAACCGUAAUGGGAAACAACUAAUCUUGUCGUAUUGCUGGGAUCGAUUCGGGAAUUUGUUCUUACAAAAUUUUAUUAACAUGAUCAACACAUUCAUUUAUAAGCGUAAGAAUAACUCUAUUUGCC
rnacentral:lncRNA from 1 species